GGCUCGUUAGCUCAGUUGGCAAAGCGCUCGUCUAGCAUACAAGAGUCUUGUGUUUGAAUCCCAGCCGAGCAC
rnacentral:tRNA from 1 species